rnacentral:rRNA from 1 species
AUUGCCCCAGUAACGGCGAGUGAAGCGGCAAGAGCUCAAAUUUGAAAUCUGGCCCCUCCGGGGUCCGAGUUGUAAUUUGCAGAGGAUGCUUCGGGUGCGGCCCCUGUCUAAGUGCCCUGGAACGGGCCGUCAGAGAGGGUGAGAAUCCCGUCUUGGGCAGGGUGCCCGUGCCCGUGUGAAGCUCCUUCGACGAGUCGAGUUGUUUGGGAAUGCAGCUCUAAAUGGGUGGUAAAUUUCAUCUAAAGCUAAAUACCGGCCGGAGACCGAUAGCGCACAAGUAGAGUGAUCGAAAGAUGAAAAGCACUUUGAAAAGAGAGUUAAACAGCACGUGAAAUUGUUGAAAGGGAAGCGCUUGCGACCAGACUCGGCCUCGGGGUUCAGCCAGCAUUCGUGCUGGUGUACUUCCCCGGGGCCGGGCCAGCGUCGGUUCGGGCGGCCGGUCAAAGGCCCCAGGAAUGUAUCGUCCUCCGGGACGUCUUAUAGCCUGGGGUGCAAUGCGGCCAGCCUGGACCGAGGAACGCGCUUCGGCACGGACGCUGGCGUAAUGGUCACAAACGACCCGUCUUGAAACACGGACCAAGGAGUCUAACAUCUACGCGAGUGUUCGGGUGUCAAACCCGUACGCGCAGUGAAAGCGAACGGAGGUGGGAGCCCCUUUGGGGCGCACCAUCGACCGAUCCUGAAGUCUUCGGAUGGAUUUGAGUACGAGCGUAGCUGUGGGGACCCGAAAGAUGGUGAACUAUGCCUGAAUAGGGUGAAGCCAGAGGAAACUCUGGUGGAGGCUCGCAGCGGUUCUGACGUGCAAAUCGAUCGUCAAAUUUGGGUAUAGGGGCGAAAGACUAAUCGAACCAUCUGGUAGCUGGUUCCUGCCGA